rnacentral:rRNA from 1 species
AGAGUUUGAUCCUGGCUCAGGACGAACGCUGGCGGCGUGCUUAACACAUGCAAGUCGAACGGAGAUUCAGGGUAGCUUGCUACCCGAAGAUCUUAGUGGCGGACGGGUGAGUAACGCGUGGGCAAUCUGCCCGAGAGUGGGGGAUAACACUUAGAAAUGAGUGCUAAUACCGCAUAACAUCAGGGUUGCAUAACCUGGUGAUCAAAGGAGAAAUCCGCUUUUGGAUGAGCCCGCGUCUGAUUAGCUAGUUGGCAGGGUAACGGCCUACCAAGGCGACGAUCAGUAGCCGGCCUGAGAGGGUGACCGGCCACACUGGAACUGAGACACGGUCCAGACUCCUACGGGAGGCAGCAGUGGGGAAUCUUCCGCAAUGGGCGAAAGCCUGACGGAGCAACGCCGCGUGAGUGAUGAAGGCCUUCGGGUUGUAAAACUCUGUCUUCAGGGAAGAAAAAAAUGACGGUACCUGAGGAGGAAGCCACGGCUAACUACGUGCCAGCAGCCGCGGUAAUACGUAGGUGGCGAGCGUUGUCCGGAAUUACUGGGCGUAAAGGGCGCGUAGGCGGGAAUUUAAGUCAGGAGUGAAAACUACCGGCUCAACCGGUAGCCUGCUCUUGAAACUGGAUUUCUUGAGGGUAUGAGAGGAAAGCGGAAUUCCCAGUGUAGCGGUGAAAUGCGUAGAUAUUGGGAGGAACACCAGUGGCAAAGGCGGCUUUCUGGCAUACAACUGACGCUGAGGCGCGAAAGCGUGGGGAGCAAACGGGAUUAGAUACCCCGGUAGUCCACGCCGUAAACGAUGGGUACUAGGUGUAGGAGUAUCCCCCUUCUGUGCCGUAGUUAACACAAUAAGUACCCCGCCUGGGGAGUACGGCCGCAAGGUUGAAACUCAAAUGAAUUGACGG